UGGCGAAGAUGGUUACACUCCUGG
rnacentral:siRNA from 1 species